UCAUUCGGCUGAAAUAUAACUAAGUAAUCGAGAGCCCGACGAAAAUGUCUGGGAAAUAUCUAGCGAAUAUCUUGCUGAUUUUUGGGUGCUGGAAUAUAGUUUUUGGCAUAGUUAUAACCUAUUUUCAAGCAUACGAACUUGAUUCAUUUUACGAUUACUACGAAGUGAAAGGUGUUAUUGGAUUUUUCAAUACGGCAGAUUUACCUGACCCAAUUUUAUAUGAACAAAAAUUUAAGAUAAAUGGCUAUUUCUUCGAGAUACUUCCUCUUGACGUCUAUAAGGGACUUUUUCCUAUUGGCAUCCUGCUGGGAGUGUCGCAUACCGGAUCGGGGAUAUUAACAUUGCUUGGUAUAAGAAACAAAUGUAAGAUCUAUUUCUCUACUGGCUUAGUUCUAAGCAGCUUUCUGCCCUACUUCAUGGUUUUCUUGUACUUGUGGAUAUUUCAGAUUAUUUUUACCCUCCUAGCCUGGCGACUCUUAAAAAAAGAUUGGUAUUGGAGCGAUUAGGCUUACCAAAUCAAUGAUGAAAGCCGUUGAAAGCUCCUGCUUAGCUUAAGUUUAAUUUUUUACACAGAUACAAAACCAAAAGGUAUUAAAUUGGAUGGCCGUAUUUUAA